UACGUAGGGUGCGAGCGUUAAUCGGAAUUACUGGGCGUAAAGCGCGUGUAGGCGGCCCUGCAAGUCGGAUGUGAAAUCCCACGGCUCAACCGUGGAAGUGCAUUCGAAACUGCGGGGCUAGAGUCCUGGAGAGGAAGGUGGAAUGCUUGGUGUAGAGGUGAAAUUCGUAGAUAUCAAGCGGAACACCGGUGGCGAAGGCGGCCUUCUGGACAGUGACUGACGCUGAGACGCGAAAGCGUGGGGAGCAAACAGG
rnacentral:rRNA from 1 species